GGUCUGAGAGGAUGAUCAGCCACAUCGGGACUGAGACACGGCCCGAACUCCUACGGGAGGCAGCAGUGGGGAAUAUUGGACAAUGGGGGCAACCCUGAUCCAGCCAUGCCGCGUGUGUGAAGAAGGCUUUCGGGUUGUAAAGCACUUUCAGUGAGGAGGAAAACCUUACGACUAAUACUCGUGAGGCUUGACGUUACUCACAGAAGAAGCACCGGCUAACUCCGUGCCAG
rnacentral:rRNA from 1 species